CACUGACGAGUUUGAUCCUGGCUCAGGAUGAACGCUAGCGGAGGCCUAAUACAUGCAAGUCGAACGGUAAGGUCCCUUCGGGGAUACACGAGUGGCGGACGGGUGCGUAACGCGUACGAAACAUACCUUCAACAGGGAGACUACCUCCGGGAAACUGGAAAUAAUACCCCAUAGUAUUGAGAUAUCGCAUGAUAUUUCAAUUAAAGCUUUGGCGGUUGAAGAUUGUCGUGCGUCUGAUUAGCUAGUUGGUGAGGUAACGGCUCACCAAGGCGACGAUCAGUAGCUGGUCUGAGAGGAUGAUCAGCCACACUGGAACUGAGACACGGUCCAGACUCCUACGGGAGGCAGCAGUAGGGAAUAUUGGACAAUGGGCGGAAGCCUGAUCCAGCCAUCCCGCGUGUAGGAAUAAGGCCCUAUGGGUUGUAAGCUACUUUAUUAGGGAAGAAAAACUUUGAUUUAUCAGAGCUUGACGGUACCUAAGGAAUAAGCACCGGCUAACUCCGUG
rnacentral:rRNA from 1 species